UACAGAGGGUGCGAGCGUUGUCCGGAAUCACUGGGCGUAAAGGGUGCGUAGGCGGUCGGGUAAGUCUGACGUGAAAUCUUCAAGCUCAACUUGGAAACUGCGUCCGAUACUAUUCGGCUAGAGGAAUGGAGGGGAGACUGGAAUACUUGGUGUAGCAGUGAAAUGCGUAGAUAUCAAGUGGAACACCAGUGGCGAAGGCGAGUCUCUGGACAUUUCCUGACGCUGAGGCACGAAAGCCAGGGGAGCAAACGGG
rnacentral:rRNA from 1 species